rnacentral:lncRNA from 1 species
AUGCCGGGGGGUUGUGUGGUAUUUGGGCAGGGAGGGGGCAGCUGAAGGGCCCCCGUGCUGGGAUGACACAGGGGACCAUGCCCUGACUCUGCCCCCAUCGCUCUUCCCAGAUCAGGCAGCUGGAGGAUGCCCUUGGAAAGCUGUGGGUGUCUGGAGCAGACAGGAAAGCAGAGAGCAGCUACCAGAUCGCCCUGCAACUGGGGUCUGUGCUGAAGGAGGUGAAGGAAGAGGUGAUGGAGCUGAAGGGCCUUGGACUGCAGGAAAUGAAGCAGGAAGUCCUGGAGCUGAAGGACCUGGAAUUAGAGAAGAUGAAGCGUGAGCUGAAGGAGCUGGGGGAGCACCAGGACAUAACGGAGGCCACGCUGAAACAGUUGAGGACAGAGGUGGCUGAGAGGACACAGGCACAGCAGGACAAGCUGAAGACUAUUGAGAGCGUGGGGCAGGAGAAGGAAGGGAUUCAGGCUGCGUGCCCUGUCUGCCCCGGGGACACUGGAGCACAGCUGGGGCAGCUUCUGCAGCGCUACGAGAAGCUGCAGGAGUUGGUGGACUCCCUAAUGUCCCAGCAGGCGGUGGGCAAGGCCGUGAGGCAGCUGCAAAAGAAGAGCCAGGUAGGGAGAUGCCUACGUGGGGGGCUUGGGAGGGAGCUGCUGUGA